rnacentral:rRNA from 1 species
GAUGAACGCUGGCGGCGUGCCUAACACAUGCAAGUCGAGCGAUUCUCUUCGGAGAAGAGCGGCGGACGGGUGAGUAACGCGUGGGUAACCUGCCCUGUACACACGGAUAACAUACCGAAAGGUAUGCUAAUACGAGAUAAUAUACUUUUAUCGCAUGGUAGAAGUAUCAAAGCUUUUGCGGUACAGGAUGGACCCGCGUCUGAUUAGCUAGUUGGUAAGGUAACGGCUUACCAAGGCGACGAUCAGUAGCCGACCUGAGAGGGUGAUCGGCCACAUUGGAACUGAGACACGGUCCAAACUCCUACGGGAGGCAGCAGUGGGGAAUAUUGCACAAUGGGCGAAAGCCUGAUGCAGCAACGCCGCGUGAGCGAUGGAGGCCUUCGGUCGUAAAGCUCUGUCCUCAAGAAGAAAUGACGGUACUUGAGGAGGAAGCCCCGGCUAACUACGUGCCACGCAGCCGCGGUAAAAGUACACGUCG